rnacentral:rRNA from 1 species
UAGUCAUAUGCUUGUCUCAAAGAUUAAGCCAUGCAUGUCUAAGUAUAAGUAAAUUAAUACGGCGAAACUGCGAAUGGCUCAUUAUAUCAGUUAUAGUUUACUUGAUAGUCAAUUACUAGAUGGAUAACUGUGGUAAUUCUAGAGCUAAUACAUGCUAAGGUUGAUCCUUCGGGAGACCAGUAUUUAUUAGCCUCGGCCGACAUGUCCCAUUGCGGGAUGAGGUGGGGAGUCAUGAUAACUUCACGGAUCGCUGCCGGAAUGGGGGCGAUGUAUCAUUCAAAUUUCUGCCCUAUCAACUAGUUGGUAGGAUAGAGGCCUACCAAGGUAUUGACGGGUAACGGGGAAUUAGGGUUCGAUUCCGGAGAGGGAGCCUGAGAGACGGCUACCACAUCCAAGGAGGGCAGCAGGCGCGCAAAUUACCCAAUCCUGACGCAGGGAGGUAGUGACAAUAAAUAUCAAUUUCGGACCUAAGGGUUCGGGAUGUGGAAUGAGUGGAAAGUAAAGAACUCUACUAAAGCAAUUGGAGGGCAAGCCUGGUGCCAGCAGCCGCGGUAAUUCCAGCUCCAAUAGCGUAUAUUAAAGUUGUUGCAGUUAAAACGCUCGUAGUCGGACCUGGGCGCGGGGGCGGGUGGACUCUGCCUGUAGGGGCGGAGGGCUGGCUGACCCCGGGUCUUUUCCGCCCGGAGCGCGGGCCCCUUGAUUGGGAGUUUGCGUAGGACGGGGGGAUAUUACUGUGAGGAAAUUAGAGUGCUCAAAGCAGGCGGGAGCCGGAAUAGAUUAGCAUGGAAUAAUAGAAUAGGACUUGUCCUGUUUUGUUGGUCAGCAGGGUUGAGUAAUGAUUAAUAGGAGCAGUUGGGGGCGUUAGUAUUCCGUUGCCAGAGGUGAAAUUCUUAGACUUACGGAGGACUAACUAAUGCGAAAGCAUUCGCCAAGGAUGUUUUCAUUGAUCAAGAACGAAAGUUAAGGGAUCGAAGAUGAUUAGAGACCGUCCUAGUCUUAACCGUAAACUAUGCCGACUAGAGAUCGGAGGCUAUCAAAAGGUGUGGUCUUCGGGAUCUUCCGAGAAAUCAAAGUUUUUGGGUUCUGGGGGGAGUAUGGUCGCAAGGCUGAAACUUAAAGGAAUUGACGGAAGGGCACCACCAGGAGUGGAGCCUGCGGCUUAAUUUGACUCAACACGGGGAAACUCACCAGGUCCGGACAUAGGUACGAAUGACAGAUUGACAGUUCUUUCAUGAUUCUAUGGGUGGUGGUGCAUGGCCGUUCUUAGUUGGUGGAGUGAUUUGUCUGGUUAAUUCCGAUAACGAACGAGACCUUGGCCUAUAACUAGUGUGCCUGCCGUGGAGCCGGUGCAUACUUCUUAUAGGGACGACGGGUGUUAUCCUUUUAGCCCGUGGAGGAUCGAGGCAAUAACAGGUCUGUGAUGCCCUUAGAUGUUCUGGGCUGCACGCGCGCUACAAUGGCACACGCAACGGGCAACGGGACUCGAGAGGGGUACCCGGGAUCCCACAAAGUGUGCCGUGCUGGGGAUAGUCCAUUGCAAUUAUUGGACUUGAACGAGGAAUUCCUCGUAAGCGUGAGUCAUCAGCUCGCGUUGAUUACGUCCCUGCCCUUUGUACACACCGCCCGUCGCUACUACCGAUGAACGGCUAAGUGAGGCCUCCGGAUUGCGGGGCAGGGCGGGGGCGACCCCGGGUCUGGCCGCGAGAAGCUGGACGAACUUGGCCGUUUAGAGGAAGUAAAAGUCGUAACAAGGUAACUGUAGGUGAACCUGCG